rnacentral:rRNA from 1 species
AUGGCGGCGAUUCCCUCGCUGGCCCCGCGCCUCCUCAAGGCCGGCAUGCCCAUCGGCUUCCUCGACCCAGUCUCCAACAUCAUCGCCAACACCAUCGCCUACACCCCUCCGCCGACGCUUCAAUCCGACGAGGGGGUGGAGGCGCCGUCGUCGGAGUGGAUCCUCUCCAAGAUCAUCACCGACAUGAACGACAAGUCUGUCUUCAGAGUGCCGCUUUCCCGGCAAAAUGCCCAUGGUAUGACCCUCGCGCGGCGGUCGCUGGACGGUCUUGUCAGCUUCCUCACCUCCCACUACCGCUACCUCAUCAGCAGGGAAGCCAUGAGCUACCUGCUCCUGGCCAGGGCCGACCUUCUCACCGCUGUGCGCCUCAUCGAGCGAGAUCGUAACAAGGGGCACAGUGUGUUCAGUAUUACCUCCUCUACCAACAAGGUCGCUCUGGAAUGUGCUGCUGUGUCUGCAAGGCAUCCUGAACCAGAUGUCCUGGUGAAAGCGUCGCUGACUAUGGCCUCUCGCGACGUCUCCAUGCUUUUGACUGGACAAGACCCUCUCUCGCCUGCAACCCUCGAGAGGAUCGCCGAGCUGCUCAGGCAAGGCCCUACGGGCAUGGAUCUCAUCAACAUAUCACUGGAUUAUCUUCGUGUUAAUGAGAAGGACAACAAUAAAAAGAGAAAGAGAAGCCGACAGACAUCAGAAUCCACAGAGGGGAGUAGGGCACAUAAGAAGAGGCUCGGUCCUCAGUUGACAUUCAGAUACACGCUGGCUCUGAAGCUUUUGCUCCUUGGCAAGAUCCAUGGGCACUACCUAGAGGCACUUGCCAAACUGCCUCGGGACGGCCUGCGCAGGCAUCACCACUGCAGCCCCCUGAGGGGUGGAUACUGCUAUGGCCCCAGGGAUCCUGUCUCCAACAUCAUCCUCAACACCAUCUGGUACGGCUCUAUGUUCCCCACGCCCCAGAAGUUUGAGCUGCAAUUUAAGGUGGACAUGAUAUGCACACGCAUGCUUGCACGCAUCGAGUGCUGCUCCCUUUAUGGCCUUGUUACGUUCCUUCGCACCUGUGCCCCUGAACUCACAGAGCACGACGCCAUCUGGUAUUUGUUCAGGAGCGGUGCGGAUGUACACAAGGCCAUCCUUGAGGUAAAGAAGCAUGGUCAUCAUGUGCCUGGCAAUUUCCAGGACGCCUAUAUGCAAGCGGCGGUUGUUUCAUGGCACGAUGACCCUGAUGAGCUGGUCAAAUUUGCUACGUCUUCAUUGAACAUGGAGUCUGCCAAGUUGUUAGCACUAUUGCAGGGCACACUUACCAACGAUGGAGUUGAAUGCCUCACCAUGGCUCUGCCACAUAAAUCUCCACCUACCCAGUCCGAGGAGCAGGCUCAGCAACCGAACCAGGUGACCUCAAGCUCACAGGUCUUGAGCAAGAACCAGAAAAUUUUCAUUUCAGAGUUCCGGAAAAAGUUUAGGCGCGACCAAAACUUCUUUGUCAGAAAGGUCAAGGCGGUAUCGAGCGACUACUCUCAGCAAAAAGGGGUGCACUAUAAACUUCAUAUCAUUUGCGGACCAAGUGUUGCUCUCGUUAAGAAGAAAUUCCAAUUUGAAUACUUCCAUAUCAACUUUUUGGCAACAGCGCCAAAUUCUGCUGUCGCAUCUCCAGAACUGUUCUUUGCUCAAUGUAGCAAUAGUAUCAAAGAGAGGCAGGAGAGACCAUCCUGGUGCACCCCUGUAUCGGAUUCUUCUAUAGAUAAUGCUCGAUGUUUCUCUUGUGAGUUUAAUGGGGCGAAGAUUGUGCAUCCAUAUGAUGAAAUAUACUAUGGGCGCUACGAGGAUUUCAAACUUAUGGCUCAUGGUAAACAUGGCACUCAGAAUGAACUCCUUACCAGUUCCUGUCAUUCUGAUUCUGAUGUAAUGGCCACAAUGACACAAGAUUUCAUCUAUUUUUAUCCCAAUAUGGAUUCAAAGUUUGCAGAAAUGAACCCUAUCUCCAAUGUGGCUAGGAAGUUGAAAGAAUGGAAGGGUAGAAUCUUCUGA